ACUACUACCACUACUACCACUACCACUACUACUACCACUACCACUACUACUACUACUACUACUACUACUACUACUACUACUACUACUACUGCUGCUGCCUUUCCCCUCAACAGAGUUGCUUUCCGCUGGGCUGGCUGCCCUUUACCGGGCCCCUUGUACUCUACUCAGAGGGACAGAGAGCUUGUGACUUCCUUAUUGUUUGUGUCACAAUAUCUUAACACAGGAACACAGACACACACGUCAUAAGAUUGGAUAUGAAUGAGUUGUAGUGUAUUCACAGAUACUGUACAUUACAUUUGACUAUCAGAGCAUCACAUUUGAACAUUGGACUGGACCUAUACAGAAGCUUGAUCGUGUAUUCUGUGGUGAUGCUAGUCUACUCGAUCUUCUGUGUGUGUGGGUGGGUAGCUGGAUCAGGAAGUGUAUGGGUGGGUAGCUGAAUAAGGAAGUGUGUGGGUGGGUAGCUGGAUCAGGAAGUGUGUGGGUGGGUAGCUGGAUCAGGAAGUGUGUGGGUGGGUAGCUGGAUCAGGAAGUGUGUGGGUGGGUAGCUGGAUCAGGAAGUGUGUGUGUGGGUAGCUGGAUCAGGAAGUGUGUGGGUGGGUAGCUGGAUCAGGAAGUGUAUGGAUGGGUAGCUGGAUCAGGAAGUGUGUGGGUGGGUACAUCCACGUCGCCAGACCAGGCCUGCUGGAGAGACAGGAUGCAAGGCCCACCCCAUCUCACCUCAACCGAAAACUACACCACCUGUAGCUUUGUACCAGAGGCUUAUCAUCAUCACCUGUAGUGUGUGUGUUUGUGUGUGUGUGAACUUCAUAACACCUCAUUAAGAGUUGAGUGCCCUCCAGUGCUGAGGGCUCAGUCAGGUGUAUUCUACAACGAUAGUUUUAGUUACGCCAGGAUAAAUGUGAUUUCCCCAUUCAUUCCUCUUCUAUUUUACCAAAUUUCAGUACAGAUGGCUCAUGGUUUGUUUAGCUGGCAAGCCAUGCUCACACCAGAGAGUAAUUAUGCGGUAAGGGCACAGUGGUGUGUCCACUUUAAAAAAAAAACGCUGCAGGUGGCAGAAGGUUGGCACACAUAAAACACACACACACAGUAGUACAGUGAAUGAGACAGCUGCCCUGGAGAUUAGGGCAUGUCUGAAUUAUGGGCAAACUGGCAGGUUUCAUCAACGACUGCUGUGUUGACAUGGAACAAGAUGUCCAGAUUAAGUACCCCCUCACCACUCCUUCUCCCCAUCCUCUCUCUCCGACACCCCAACCGUCCUUCCCCUCCCAUACCCGACCCCUCCCUCUCCCCCUCACCCCAAAACGCCCCCCCCUCUCCUACUCACCCACCUCACCACAUAACUUCUUUCCUCCCCUCCAUCAAACCAAAACUUCCCUCCCUCCUCCCCUCCUUCCUCACCUCACCCCAAAACAUCCCUCCUCUCCUCCUCACCCAAUAACCUCUCUCCUCCCCUCCAUCAACCCAAAACUUCCCUCCAUCCUCCCCUCCUUCACCACCUCACCCCAAAACUUCCCUCCUCACCUAUCUUCUAACAGGUUUUUCUGUGCCUGGAAACAUUACCAUAAUGAGCUAUGAGCCAUUCCAAAGCACUCAGCUUCUCUGAAGGUUUUUCAUUGUAUUAAUUAAGUCUAUUGCUCUGCGCUCGCUCCCUCAUCCCCAUGUUCCUGGAGGUAUGAACCCACUGAACCUACCUGGGAUGAGGAUUUGUUUCACUCCAAUCUCUUCCGUUUUUUUCUUCAUAAUUCGGCUCCAGAAAUCAUAGAGUGAUGCCAGCUUAUAACUGAAAGCCUGUGAAAAACAGUGGAAUUUUGUUAGAGAUUUUUAAAAUCAUGUGAGAAUUACUGCCAGUGUUGUAGGUGUAUGUGUUGUACAUGGUGUAAUGUUGCUGUUCCUUUCUCACGUAUGGCCUUUUCUCGUGUGUGUGUGUGUGUGUGUGUGUGUGCACGAGUGUGUGUGUGCGCACUGCCAUCAGAGAGCUGCUCCCUUACUUCAUGGCGUAGACAGCGAGGCUGUCUGGAGCAGACCCUGGUGAUAAAGACUAUGACAAGUUUUAAGUUGCUGGAGCAGGCCGAGACACAGAUUACCAAUCCAAUGUUUGACCUGGCAGAUAUAACAUGGUUCCCUUUUGGACCUUUUUUUGGAGCAACGCUAAUUGGGAAAGCCAUAGCCAACAUGCACAUUCAGAAACUGUUUGUGAUCAUAACCUUCAGCAGGCACAUAGUGGAGCAGAUGGUGUCUCUGAUUGGGCUCCCUCCUUUUUGUGAACAUGUUUGAGUGUAUGUCUGUGAGAGUGUGAGAGAGAAUUAGUGUGUGUGUGUGUGUGUGUGUGUGUGUGUGUGUGUGUGUGUGUGUGUGUGUGUGUGUGUGUGUGUGUGUGUGUGUGUGUGUGUGUGUGUGUGUGUGUCACAGAUGGCUGGGGAGCAGGCAGGGAUGUGAUAAACACCCUGGCUGGGUAGUACUAGGGGGAUCUCCAUCCAGGAGCGGGCUCCAUGCCUCAGUGAUGAAGUCAUUGGGAAAGAGCCUGAUUCAACUGGACCAGAUCCGGCUGACAGAGUGAGACAUGGAAUCAGAGGGACACACACUCCCUACACACACGCUCUGUUUUUUUCCCACUGUAUCUUUCACUGUAAUUCAACGAACAUAUUACUUCUACUAUCAUUAACGGUAUUUUAUUUGACCACAUAACAGCAAUUCUACUAUUUGUAUUACAGUGUGAACAAAACAAAUGAACUGUCUGAAUAAGUUAUUUGAAACUUUACAUUGAAAAACUUUAAUUGGCCCAUAAGUCAAAUUAGAUGGGCACCUUUUAUGUGAAUGGUUUAAUCAUUGAUAUUCAGAGGUGUGACAAAGACUUGCAGGUUUCAGUUUCUCAGGUCAGACAGACACAAUGCCAUUAACACCAAGCCUGAGUUUCUGGAUGUAGGCCUAUCUGGUUAUACCGGCAUAAGUGUUAUGUUUGAUGUGAACUUGGGUUCUGAUGGUCUUAUGUUGUACAAGCUCUUUGUUGGUAUGUUGUAACUAGUUGGAUCUGGCCAGAGGUUAGCUACCUGAACUAGCUGUCAUGUCCUGCCUAUGAGUUGGAGGUGUGUGUAUAGCUGUGUAUGAUCACGCCACUAGUGUUCAUGUGUGCUUGUUUGAGAGUGAAAAAGUGUGAGAGAUUUUGUGCUUGUGUGUAUUUUUUAUACAUUUUUUUAUUGAACCUUUAUUUAACUAGGCAAGUCAGUUAAGAACAAAUUCUUAUUUACAAUGACGGCCUGGCAAAAGGUCUCCUGCAGGGACGGGGGCUGGGAUUUAAAAAAAAAAUGUAUACAAUAUAAAUAUAGUACAAAACACACAUCACAACAAGAGAGACAACACUACAAAAAGAUAUACCUAAGACAACAACAUAGCAUGGUAGCAACACAACAUAACAACAACAUGGUAGCAGCACAAAACAUGGUACAUAUAUUAUUGGGUACAGUCAACAGCACAAAGGUCAAGAAGGUAGAGACAACAUGUCUUUGUGUGCAUAUCUCUGUGUGUAAGAGAGCGAGAGAAAGUGUGUGUGCCCCUCUCCCUCCUCAGAGGUGGCAACCUGAGCUGUGUGUGUGUGUGUGUGUGUAUCUGUGUGUGUGUGUGUGUGUGUGUGUGUGUGUGUGUGUGUAGGGCAGCUUCAGAAGAGGCCAGGGGUCAUAGGUUACCUCUGACUCAUGUUCUGUGGAAUUUGGUCUCAAGGAAAUGAAAAAAAAAAUAAUGAGAUUUUUUUUUUUUUCUUCCUCUCUGUAACGGCAGCAGGAAAUAAUAGCACAUAACAAAUCGGAAUGUUAAUGAUGGUCACAAAUUAACCCUUACAUGUUUUGUCCUCUAUGUAAGAGGAGGAUGUGGUGGUGGUGGUGGUUUGAGGAAGGAAGCCAGUCUGAUUUCCCUCCAAAACCCCCCAUCUAUAUCCUUGUGAGAUCUUAAGAACACGGUUCAGCACUUGAGCAAUUCACACCUCCCUGGCAAUUUAUCAAUGAGCUGCUUCCCUCCUUGUUGUGACUUAGCCGUGAGUAGGCAGACAGAUCUUUUUCUCAGCUAGACUGGGCACUCAAAACACUGACAGCGGCUAUCUGAUUUGGCACUACUUGUUUCAUACAGGCAGACAUCUAUAUCAUGAUGCAUUAUGUGCUAAUCAUUUCCAUUCAUCUAAGCGGGGCCUAGGCCCUACCCCUUACUUGUCAGCAUGUGGACAUGUAGGAGUAGUCCCCAGGUCUGCUGGCAGGGCUUCAGUCACAGCCUCUCGUCUCCUCCAUCAUUAGACAGAACACUGUUGAUUUGACCGGUUGACCAUCAGCGUCUGGAAUAUGAAGUGCUUUUUGUGUUGUUGAGGUUUUUUCAGUCAUAACAAGCAUUCAUUGAUUCAUUGUGUGGGAGUAGAGUCAGUAGGCAACCUGGGAGAGAGAGUGUGUGUGUGUGUGUGUGUGAAUGUGUUUUUGUAUGUUCCAGUGUGUGUGUGAUGAUACCUCUACCUCUUGUGUAUCUGAGUCAGUCCUCAGUUCCCACCACUGACCUGUGAUAGUGCAGUGAGCUCACAAUGUGAGGAGAAAUAAGAUGCACCACCUGAUUGAUAAAGGCACCCCUUCCAUGUAUCUACGGUAUGCAUCCCACAGUUUAUAUCACUUCAUAACGUUAACAAGAGAGUAAUUACAAAUAUCUGAUCAAAAGUACAUGUGCUGUAUAUCAUUUUUUUUUUUAAGUAUCCAGUCAUUGUUUGCUGCAAAAGUGAUCUGUUAUUUUAGGUUAGUGAUACAUUACAAGUCAUAAAGUCCCACCCUGUGCCCUAGCUGGCGUCUGCUCCCACGUUCUGUCCACAAAGCUGCUUUAGCGGGGGCUCUGUAGUCCAAACAUACCACCUUAUCUGGUCAAUGGCACCAUAUAUUUGCUCUCAGUGUCGCAUAUUGAUUAAAUCUAACCUUAGGUUUUCUCAUAAAAACAACCUUGAUUUAUUUGUCUAAAAGAAGUAUUUAACUUUUGAUCCCAUAUGAUUGGCCUUAAUAAUGAAUUUAGGCCUAUAGGUUAUUUUAUUAAACCUUUAUUUAACUAUCUUCAGUUGGAUUAUUUUUGUUUGAUGUAUUUAUUUAGACACUGGUAUACUGUGAGUCACUGAAUGAUGACCCGUCUGAUAUAAAAAGUAUUAGAUUGAAGAUUUUUACAUUUUUUAUGAAUAUCAAAUGCUUAAGUUUCAAUCGUUUAAAUUAUCACUGAAUAUUGUGAUGGUAUUUUAGGUAUUCAAAAUGGAUAUAUUUUUUACCUGCAAAUUAUAAUUGUUUUGUCUCCCAUCGGAGACAUUGCAAUGUUUUUUCUCCCGUCGGAUUGCAUCAGUUGAUUUCUAUUUUGACUCCCUUAUUAUGGUUCACUGAAAAUAUACUUAACUCAUUCAAUGUGAGAAAUGGAAUGCAGCAUUCAAUGUAGAAUAGAUUUAGAAUGAAUUAUUCAUCAGAAUUGACAGAAUUGAUUCAAAUCUAUCAUUUACAUUUGUGAUACAUUUUUGUUCAGUUGACUAUAAUUAUGUUUGCUUGUUGUUAUUUUAGGGAGAAAUGUUAUUUUGAAACCAUUGACAUUAUUUUAGCUAGAAUCCAUAAACAUCAAUUAUGACUGCUCUUUAAUAUCCUUAUUACGGAAACUAGAUAAAAGCCAUGUUUCUCUUUAAUAGGGAAAUCUUGAUUUUGUAUUUGAUUGUUUAGUUAAUUCUAAAAGUGUCUAGGUUUUUCUUGUUUGCUUUAAAUUCUUUCUUUAGUCAUUAAUAUCACAUAUAUGUAUAUUUCUCCACCCACUCACACUAUUAGAUCCACACUGUAUUGUAAACCACAUGAUUUCAACAAACAUGGUGGUUACUAGGUUUGUUCAGUAGCUGUUGAGCAAAUAGCAGGAAUUUAAAGUUGACUGAAUAACACUAUUUUAUUUGGAUUUUAACUAAAUACGGCUACUCCCACUCUCCCUCUUAUGAUUAACAAGCCACCAAACUCAGGACGUGAUGACAAAAAGAAUUGAAGAGAAAACAUUUCAUUUAAAAACUCACAGAGAGUAAAUCUACUACAACAAUGACCAGUCAUCACUGUUUAAAAAAAAUGUUUUACAUCACAAGCAUUUUAAUGCAUGCCUUCAGAAAUCAUACUUUUUCCAGAUUCUACAUACUCACAUUCUCACUGGUCCUCAACCCUGCACCUUAGAGGCUGCUGCCCUCUGUACAUAUACAUUGAAUCACUGGUCACUUUAACAAUGUUGACAUACUGUUUUACUCAUUUCAUAUGUAUAUACUGUGUUCUAGUCAAUGCCAUCCUAUUCAACUAUUGCUGUAUAUACUAUUCUAUACUAUGUAUACUACAGAUAGAUAUACUAAAUUGUCUAUCCACAUACUGUCCAUAAUGUCUAUACGUCCCGCAAUAACAUCUGCAAAAUAUGUGUAUGCAACCAAUAAAAUGUGAUUUGAUUUUAAUGUAACUUUUUAAAUUCCUCUUCAACAAAAAUACAUUACAAUCACUGUCUGAGCUUCUUACAAAAUAACAGCACGAAAUAAGGUUUUUAAAAUACUCACAGGUAUAUAAAACAAAGCAAGAUUAGAAGAAACAUCUAAGUCCAGAAGGUUCACAAAGCAUUGGUCUGUAGAAAGUUUUAGAAAGUUUGAGAGAGUUCCAAAAGCUCAAAACAGGCAGAUGUAUGUACAUGAGGACACACAGAUACAGCCCUAAGUUAUUAAAAGCAUGUUUAUGACUGUUAGGUUUGAGUUUCUGUCUACUUGUUGAGUGUUUGCGCCGGGUUCAUGACUCACUAUUGCUCAUCGUACAGGGCAUGAAUUGAGCCCGCUAUUUCUCAAACCCUGACUUUCUCUCUUUGUUCUUGUCAGUUAGUUUUUAGUCAGUUGGAAAUUGAAUCUCAUUUGAUUUUGGAAUGUAUUUGUUUGUCUUUGAGUUACGUUAUUACUAGGAUUGUUGUACUAGUUAGCAUUUUGGAAGCAGUUUGGUUUCUAGGUGUGUAAAAGGUGUUUGGGAUUAAAGAAUUUGAAGGAUGAAUGGGGUAGGGGACUAAACUUUAAUCCACUCUCAUCUUCCUCAGUUGGUCUUUAGAUCCUUAUUUGAAUCUUAUUUUGGGUGUUCUUUAUUGUGUUAGUUGAGCAUGAUCCAUCUCUAGGCUUCUCUUUGUGAUUUGCAGCCUUUUUUAUGUCCAUUCCUGAUGAGGAUAUCGGUAACUCUGUGUUUGGUUAAUGAUUAAAAGAAACGUAACUUUUGUAAACUCAUGCAAACGCUGAAGCUGAUACAACUUGUUUUCUUACACAAUUAGAGGGAAGGUGUGUGUGCGCGUGAGCGUGUGUGUGUAUGUGAGAGAACACACGGACGUGUGUGUGUUCAGCAUGUAGGGAAUUACUGUAGUUUGAAAGACAAAGUAAGUUAUCAGUCCUGGUAUAUGACCAUGCCCUGCCUUUUGUGAACAUACGGUUUGCGCUUUGAGUUGUGUCUUGGAACAUACCACCCCCACCCCGCCAUUACAGAAGGAGUCGGAAUGCUUUUAACAAUGGUGGUAAAGGGAUAUAAUUGACAGUGUUCUGCCACCAAAGAGUAUAAGUGAAGGUCUUUAGUAUGUAUUUGUUCAGUGAUUAAUCACUAACUCCUGACUAGGGAUGGGCCAUUCUCUGUUCCAGAGCAUUGUCUCUCUCUUUAUCUCUCACUCUCUCUUACUAUCUCUCUCUCU